UAUAUUUAUGUGUAUGAUUUAUAUGCUGAUUCCUUUUUUUUCUUCUUCUUUUUCUUCUUCUUCUUUUUCUUCUUUUUUUUUGUGAUACAUUUUUGUUUUGUUGUUGAUCCUAUAUCUCAUUAUCUUGUUCAUUUUAAAAAAAAACGUUAAUACUGUAAAUAUGUUAUAAAGUUAAAAAAUUCCAAAAGUAUACAUUCCCAUAUAAAACACAUCCCAUAAAAAAAAAAAAAAAUAUAUUACACAUAUAUUACACAUAUAUUACACAUAUAUAUAUA
rnacentral:sRNA from 2 species